AGAGAUUCAUGUCGGUUAGAUACCUCUAUCUUCGACUGGGGCAGCUGCUCCUUAAAACGAGAAGACAACAGCAAGAAAGCGAAUACUAAUAUAUAUAAUAUAAUGGCUUCCCUGAGUUUCACUUCCUCUUCUUUCCGGCCACCGGAGUUAUCCUUUGGCACCGGAAAUUACGGGAACACCAUCAAGCUCCACCGCCGAAAGAAAUCCAUCUCAGUCCCGUUCGCUGCAAAUUCGCCUGAAGAAUCAUUGCCGAUUCCACCCGAAAAGCCUGAAAUCGAACUCGAUUUCAUUGGGCCGAAGCCUGGGAACGACGGCUCGUAUCCGGUGGAGAAAGCCAAAGCUAUCAGUGGAGAGAAGCUGCUGAGGAACAUCAUGUUGGAUAAUAAAAUCGAGCUUUACGCCACGUAUGGAAAAGUGAUGAAUUGUGGUGGUGGUGGAAGCUGUGGAACUUGCAUUGUGGAGAUUAUUGAUGGAAAGGAUCUUUUAAAUGAAAGAACAAGUACAGAGCUUCGGUAUCUGAAGAAGAAACCUGAAUCUUGGAGGCUUGCUUGUCAAACUAUUGUGGGAAAUAAGGAAAAUUCUGGCAAGGUAGUGAUUCAGAGGAUACCCCAGUGGAAGAAGUAAUUAAGAGCCGCGCCCCACUGCUAUUUUUUAAUGAAACCAAUUAUUUAUUGCAGAAACGGAUGCAUUAUUAAGUUAAAAAUAUGCAAACACCCAAGACUGGUAGCCUUUGACUAGCGGCGGAAAAAGGAAGGAAAAUUAGGUAUCAUCUAUGAGAGCGAACUACCAAAAUCAGCUGAAGGCACAAAAGGAAAGGGGCACGACAGCCUUGCAUCCUCAAAGGGAAGUAUGGCUUUUACCUUAACAAAAUAAAUGGCUAGUCUAACACGCCUUGUGUUGACAAAAGUUGUCUGUAAAAUAUUAUUUUAUUUGAAUUUUGAGUUUUCCAAAAAUUUGAGUUUUUGAAAAAUAUCAUAAUACUAUAAGAGAUGUUUGCCAAGAAAAUGAGAAGGGGGGUGGGGGACCAUGAUAAACCCGAUCGAGCUUCCUAGAAUUUAAGGAUUCACGGGUGCAAAUGAAUGGAGCCACGGCUAAAACAGUCGAAAAGGGACUGCACAUUUCUGCCUUCGGCUUUACUUUUCUCCUUUAAGCCCAUCUGAAAGGGACAAAAGCCUGCAACUAUAAAGAGCCCCUUAACCCAGCUACGAUACCAAUUUGAUGCCCCCUAGCUCUAACUAUUCAUACAGAAAGCACAUGGUCCCUAAACAACUUGUCCAAACAAACACAUGCUACAAAGACUUUUAUCCCUAUACCAGAUUACUUUAAAUUCUUUGGAAUUGAUUUUGGAAUUUCAAUCUACACAAUGUGCAUGUGCAUGAGUUUUGCUGCUUAUGGCCAAAAGUCUUUCAAGGAGCCUCUCGCGUUUCUGAUUCAUGGAAAGUUGGUGGCUUUUUUGGUCUUUGACACUUUGUUUUUGUUUUUUUAUUUAAAAUGAGUUAUAAAGUAAUUGUAAAAUAAUUAUAGGUUUAGCAUUAUCCUAGUAGAAAAAUGUAAACUUAAGAGCAUUGGUAAACUAUAUGGUAUGUAUAAGAUUUUACAAUAUUGCAUCCUGAGCUCUUAAGAGCAUUGCCUUUGUGCAUUGAUUGUGGGGGCAUGGGAGAAAGUUCUUGUUCAAUCAUCCUUCUAAAAUAUCAUCUUCAACAAUUUUAGGGACAAUCGGCUUGCGUCCCCACCGUGGCACAGGCAAGCCGAUGUUAUAAAAUAAAAUAAAAUAAAGUAAGUCUUAAAACAAAGAGAAAUCGAUUUUAUUCUUUCUCAUGCCAAACCUUACCCAUAUCCAUCCUUGAUAGAGCUUGUGAAGGAUUCCGUGGGUUGUGGUCAUGGGUGAAGGAUUAUGUGGAUUGUCGUCGUGAGAGAAGGAUACCGUGGAUUGCAGUUGCCAUUGUCGAUCUCUGAAACCUUUAUGCUCCAUGUUGCCAUUGUUGAUCUCUGAAGUUGUAAACGAUUUCUUUUUAUUUCUAUUUUAUAUCGGCCUUAUUUUUUGUCACAAUACUUGUGGGCUUUCGGCAGUUUUCUCUGCGGUAUAUUAAUUUGGUUUUGCUCCUCACCUUCGCAUUUUACUAUUUUAGGAACUUGACUCUAAUGAUCAUUGACCAUCAGCUAGCUAGUGGCCUUGAUCUUGAAUGGCUCAUGGGAUAUAUGUGAGCCGAAAUCUCUUUUUCUCGAUCUUUCUAUAAAAGACAAUAAUUUAUAAGGGUAUUGGUCCUGCCUUUUAGUUUCCUUAAUGAUUUUUUCAAGAUCAGUGUUGCACCAAUGUCUCCUUUUUUGACAAAUUAAGGCUUGUAAUUUAUUCAAAAAAACAUACAAAUGAUCAUAAGCUUAUACUUCUUAGUUUAGAAUCUAAUAUUGGUAAUCAAAAUCACAGUUCAACCUCCGCUCAGGCCAAGUCAUUUCUCAAAUCUAAGUAAAGCAGUGCCCUAAACAUUACAAUCUUUAUUUUUUUUUUCUUAGUUUUGAUGAUUUUUAGGGUCUUUCUUCUCUUGGGAAACUAAUAUGAGUUGAUCAUGAGUGUUAGGCAUGGUUUUCUUUCUUAGUCACAUGAUUUCGAGGAGAAGACGCUAGCUGACUAGGUUGUGGCUUCAUGCUCUGGUUCGUGGGUUCAAGGAGAAGAUGCUGGCUGACUGGGUUGUAUGAAAGACGCUGGCUUUGUAUGAAAGACGAUGGGGAUGUUGGAAGACGAAUCAACUUCUAGAGGGAACAAGGGUUAUGAAUCUACCGCAGCUUUUUUAUGGGGAAUUAAAAUACACAAUGACAUCAUUUUGUAAUGUGCAACGUAGGAUAUGAUGCCGCAAAGGGGACGCAGCUCAGUUGUAUAUAGACUUCUUCAUCUUUUAUAGCCUUCUAGCGCUUCACUCCAUUUCACCUCAUAACCUUUAAAAGCAUGGGUUUGGUAAAGUACAAAGAAAAAGGUGUACAGGAGAGAGGAUUAUUGAAGGCUCCAGCUUUGAAAACAAGAUGGAUUCUGCAUAAAUAUAAGGGCAUGUUGGCUAAUAAUAACUGUCCUUUUUAGUGGGUUGAAAAACCACACCCAGAUGAUUCUUUUGAAACACAGCCC